AUGUAUUUAGCAGGUUCUAUGAUCUCUUGUAUUGCACUGUUGAUGCGUCUCGAUCUCCUGUUUUGUUCAUCUUUGUUCUGCUCCUUGAGGAGGGAGCAGCAGGCAGAAGAAAUCCAAAGCCAAUUUCGCUCAGCUGUAGCAUCUUUCACUGACGAUAAGUCUGCACAGCAGCCUGAUGUGGUAAAAGAAGAAAAAGAGAACGUUGGAGGAAAAGGCUUUGGAAGCCCGCUUCAGCAAUGCUAUGACCUGACACUCCAUGUAUACAUGAAAAAUGACCGCAAUUUUGCUGUUGUGAUUUGGUCAAUCCUUGGCGUUUUGAUUCCUACUAAUCUCUCCUUUGUUUGGCAACUGAUGCCACCCAGAGGGCUGCCAACCCAGGACAACAUCGGACUUGCGCUGACCACACCCUCCGCAAACGACCACCGAUUGGCGAUUGUUUGUUUUCGUCACCACCUGGACUCGCUCCACCGCAGCUUCGACUUCAAAACCACUCAGCAACCAAUGAAAGAGCACCUCAGACAUGCCUCACGACCCCUCCCACAUCUCCACCUCCAGUGCGCCGCCACCCCUGCCACGCUGCUGCGCGCCGCCGGGCGCGGCGACGGCGAUCUCCGGCCAGAUCCGGACGAGGAGGUGAGGCAGUGGCAGGAUCCUGUUCCAGGAUGGCGUGGAGGCGAUCUAGGAGGCGCGGGAGGAGGUCCAGCGGAGGGGCUUGAACUCCAAGUUCAUGGCGGCGGUGUUCCUUGCCGGUUCCGAGCGAGAUGGCAAGCUCCGGCGGAGUCUCUCCAUGGAUACGGUGGCGCUGCACCUAUGAGAGAGACAUAUGUGAGGCGAGAGAUAGAAAGGAAGGAGGGGCAGUCUGAAUUUGACGGUUUACUUGAGAAAACUUCUGCUGAAGUUAAUGGUUCCCUGUCAAAUCUGCGCAUAUGUAACUGCAGCAAGAACUGCUGGUUUCAAGAUUAUUUCGCCAACCAUGUGGAGCCGCUGACGUUUACUCUCCCUGAAGACUCAGUGGCCAGCUCAGUGAUACUCUUAGUCCUGUCUCAGCAUCAUGGUUCGGGAAAAAGUGGUGUACGAAUGGCUUCGGAGGAUAGUUUGCAGAGGUACUUAAGGCAUUUGUCCGAGCUAUGCCGCUUCCUAUCAAACUCAAGUUCGGCGCUCCGUCUGCACUCGAGCAUAGCUGUCGGCCAUCAGCUCGCUCAAGCAAACACGCUGACCGUCCGCGCACGAUCUCCUCCCAGCCUUCGACAUGGUUUUAUGAAUUACCUCGAGGGAUGA
rnacentral:rRNA from 1 species